CAACGAAUCUUCCGCAAUGGGCGCAAGCCUGACGGAGCGACGCCGCGUGUGGGAUGAAGUCCUUCGGGAUGUAAACCGCUGUCAGGGGUUAGGAAGAUCUGACCGGCCCCACAGGAAGCCCCGACUAAGUCUGUGCCAGCAGUCGCGGUAAUACAGACGGGGCCAGCGUUGUUCGGAAUCACUGGGCUUAAAGCGGGUGUAGGCGGGUCGGCAAGUGUCUUGUGAAAGCCCUCGGCUCAACCGAGGAAUUGCUGGGCAAACUGCUGGUCUUGAGGCGGGUAGGGGUGCAUGGAACUCUAGGUGGAGCGGUGAAAUGCGUAGAGAUCUAGAGGAACGCCGGUGGCGAAAGCGGUGCACUGGGCCCGAUCUGACGCUGAGACCCGAAAGCGUAGGGAGCAAACA
rnacentral:rRNA from 1 species